rnacentral:SRP_RNA from 1 species
GGGGGGGGCCCUGGCAAUGGCAGCUUGCGAACCUGGUCAGGACGGGAACGUAGCAGCCAUAAGCAUCGCGGCCAUGUGCUCGGGAUUUCCUCCCCGGC